rnacentral:sRNA from 1 species
GAGCUGCUUUUCUCACACCUCCUUUUUAUACGCAGGGACACUACCUCAAAUCUCCGAACCUUAUAAGUACAUGUGUGCAAGUGCAUACCUAUGAUCUGACGCCCCGUGGUCAACAGAUCUAGAAGCAUUUUAUCUAUAUUUCCGACCCGGUGUCGACAGGCUCAUCACUUGACUAACUUAGUAACUACCCAUUUUUUCCAUAAACGCAACCAAUAAUGCACUAUUUUUAUAGCGAAUGUACUUAUAACCAAUUUCUGUAGAAUUUCCGUUAUGAUACUUCUAACAAACAUAAUGCUAUUGAAAAGGAAUAUUAAAGCAAUAGCACAAUUGAUAAAAUUAUAACGUACAUGUAUUUUAAAUACAUCAUGUACUUGAGAAACUCAUUAGAGGCUACGUGAUCGUAACCACAGAUUUUUUAACCAUAUACAGGCUAAUUUAGCUGUACCAGUAUGCCAAUUGUGAUGAAUUAAGAAGGAGUAACGACCAAAUUUUUACCAAGCAGCAGUAUCUUCUUCAAAUCAGGCUCUCUAGUUGAUUUCAUUCUGUAACAAAGAUGAGUUCAUGUCUCUCUGUCUUGUUUGCGUGAUUUUGUUACCGACUGAAUGUAUGCACAGUUCUUAUGCUUGUAUUGAUGUGUUAUCACAUUAAUUAUUGUAAAUCCAUAUAAAAAAUGAAUGGGUCUCUUUCGACUAC